AGAGAGCUUACUCACAACCUUGAUCUUCUGCCUCUGCUGCACACCGCUUGCAACCGCGGCAACGAGCUCAGCUUCGGUGGUUGGUUUUGCAGGGUGCAGGCACUGCUCCCGCUCCCGCAGCUGAUUGGGAGAAUUGCUACCGCGGAGCUGCAGCAGAGAAGCAGGAUCAUCACCCACACACCUGGAAGAACACUCCAUGCUCCGGUCAGCCUCAUUGCGGUGCUGGUCGCUGCUGUGGAAGCAUACAAACAAGUGAUUUUCUCUUUUCUAUAUGUUUGUAGCCGAGCUGAGCUUUCGUUUUAUGUAGCUGGCUGGCAGCCUGACUGGACCGGCUGGCUCGACGUCGCUUAUCCAUUCUGAGGCGUAUAAAAAGCUGACUUUACCAGGCAAAAGCGUGUGGGGGCCAAGAACUCUACGGAGAUAAGAACACUUAAAUGACAGGAAGAACUCUCGAGCGUCAAGGAACUCAUGCUCUUCAUAAGGAUUUCCAUCCAGAAGCGGAGGAUAUACAGUCGCUGUUGAGUGGUGGAUUGUGACAAUCACCGAUCAAACAAAAGGGAUUCGGAUUCUUGCUU